GGAUGUGAGGGCAAUCUGGCUGCGACAUCUGUCACCCCAUUGAUCGCCAGGGUUGAUUCGGCUGAUCUGGCUGGCUAGGCGGGUGUCCCCUUCCUCCCUCACCAUUCCAUGUGCGUCCCUCUCGAAAUGGGGUAGAGGACGGCCUUCCCUGAAUAGAGACGGACUGGUCUUCGGUGGAGGGUAUAUGAGUAGCUGCGCUCCCCUGCUAGAACCUCCAAACAAACUCUCAAGAAUGACUUAGAGGAGGAAGAAACUAGAAGCAGUAUUUACAAUUCAGAAGUAUUCUGCAACAACU
rnacentral:snRNA from 1 species